UCCACUUCAAGCUCCCGGAUAAACAGUGGUUGAUGAGGGUUCCUCUCCUUCCUCAUGCCCACUAUCAUCUCCUUCGUCUUGUCUGUGUUGAGGGUGAGGUUGUUGUCAUCACACUAU